UACGUAGGGUGCGAGCGUUAAUCGGAAUUACUGGGCGUAAAGCGUGCGCAGGCGGUUCGUUGUGUCGGUGGUGAAAUCCCCGGGCUUAACCUGGGAAUGGCCAUGGAAACUGGCGAACUGGAGUGCGGCAGAGGGGGGUGGAAUUCCGCGUGUAGCAGUGAAAUGCGUAGAGAUGCGGAGGAACACCGAUGGCGAAGGCAGCCCCCUGGGUUAACACUGACACUCAUGCACGAAAGCGUGGGGAGCAAACAGG
rnacentral:rRNA from 1 species